rnacentral:lncRNA from 1 species
CGUGUUUAUCUGGAUUUAGUCCGAAAAUUGUGGAUAGAGAUUCAAUUCAAUUUGUAAAUUAAUAGAAUCUAAUUGUAGAUUUCAAUUAAAUACCUACAGAUUCGAUCGACAAAUUCAAAAAAAAAAAAUUAAAACAUAAAUAACUAAGAAUGUAACCUAAUUAGAGUCAAAAUCCUAUUUUUCUCUCCCUUUUCAAUUGGCAUACUUCUCACCGGCUCAUUCUCUCUUCUCACUGUCAUCCAAUACAACCAUUGUCCAUCAUUUGCGUUGCGUUGUUGGAAUAGUCGAUCCUUUGCGCCAUUGGAAUCAUCGGAAUCACCGAACCUCACUCUUUUUCCUCAGUCACUGGAAUCGAAGCUUAUCCCCCUCUCUCUGCUGACUUCUCAGAUUUCUCCAUCACGUAUGUUCUUCACCAGUGCUGUGUCGAUUCCCAGCUUUUCUAUCUCUUGUGUUCCUCAUCGGCACCGCCUCGAUUCGUUGUUUCCUGUUCACAUCUUUGAUCGCGUUCUACAUCUAAUCGGGUUCUGCUUCGCCUUUUGCAUUCUACUUUUCCUUCUCUGCAUUUUCUAUAAUGCUGCGAUUUAAUAAUUACAAUCGAGGUUCCCGUCUUGGCUCUCUCCAUAACUAAAUUAGUUAAUUAGAAACCUUUUUCUUUUUUU